rnacentral:rRNA from 1 species
GCCGCGUGAGGGAUGACGGCCUUCGGGUUGUAAACCUCUUUCAGUAGGGAAGAAGCGAAAGUGACGGUACCUGCAGAAGAAGCGCCGGCUAACUACGUGCCAGCAGCCGCGGUAAUACGUAGGGCGCGAGCGUUAUCCGGAAUUAUUGGGCGUAAAGAGCUCGUAGGCGGUUUGUCGCGUCUUUCGUGAAAGUCCGGGGCUCAACCCCGGAUCUGCGGUGGGUACGGGCAGACUAGAGUGAUGUAGGGGAGACUGGAAUUCCUGGUGUAGCGGUGAAAUGCGCAGAUAUCAGGAGGAACACCGAUGGCGAAGGCAGGUCUCUGGGCAGUAACUGACGCUGAGGAGCGAAAGCAUGGGGAGCGAACAGGAUUAGAUACCCUGGUAGUCCAUGCCGUAAACGUUGGGCACUAGGUGUGGGGGACAUUCCACGUUUUCCGCGCCGUAGCUAACGCAUUAAGUGCCCCGCCUGGGGAGUACGGCCGCAAGGCUAAAACUCAAAGGAAUUGACGGGGGCCCGCACAAGCGGCGGAGCAUGCGGAUUAAUUCGAUGCAACGCGAAGAACCUUACCAAGGCUUGACAUGUUCCUGACCGCCGUAGAGAUACGGUUUCCCCUUUGGGGCAGGUUCACAGGUGGUGCAUGGUUGUCGUCAGCUCGUGUCGUGAGAUGUUGGGUUAAGUCCCGCAACGAGCGCAACCCUCGUUCCAUGUUGCCAGCGCGUAGUGGUGGGGACUCAUGGGAGACUGCCGGGGUCAACUCGGAGGAAGGUGGGGACGACGUCAAAUCAUCAUGCCCCUUAUGUCUUGGGCUUCACGCAUGCUACAAUGGCCGGUACAAUGGGUUGCGAUACUGUGAGGUGGAGCUAAUCCCAAAGAGCCGGUCUCAGUUCGGAUUGGGGUCUGCAACUCGACCCCAUGAAGUCGGAGUCGCUAGUAAUCGCAGAUCAGCAACGCUGCGGUGAAUACGUUCCCGGGCCUGUUACACACCGCCCGUCAAGUCGCGAAAGUUGGUAACACCCGAAGCCGGUGGCCUAACCCUUGUGGGGGG